UUGCUGCAUUUGGAGGAAGAGUCACAAGGUAGCACGGCAAGGGCACGAUGUGUACCGUCAGCUUCUUCGUCCCAGAGGUCCCUGAGCUUGGACAGGCUGCAGCAAGGGGCACUGCACAAGGCCAGCCACGAGGACAUCAGGGACGCCACAAAGCUCUCAGGAUGGCCCCCUGAGCAGCCUCAGCAAAACUAGCAAUAGCCAGGACUCACUGAACAACGCCCCCAAGAAGAAGGGCAUCACAAAAUCCAUCCGCUGGUUGCUCACCAGAAGACAAAAGGUCCACCCCAGCCGCGCUAGCGACGAGCCUGCAUGACCAGUUUACCCACACUGCUUCUACCGAUGGUCUUGCAGCACGCAGAGCCCAGCAGUGACUACAUUUGAAAAUUCAACCAGAUCUUUCAUCUGUUAAUCCUUGUUAUAUGGACCCUGAGAUAUUUCAUUACAGUAUUUAAUUACUGAAAAAUUCGUGAAUAGGAUCGAGAAACUCAUUUAGCAUUUAAUGUUUCGUACAUCUCUGUAAAUUUGUCACUCCCUAUAGAGAGUUCCUUCCUUUCAUGUAUAUCCAGGCUAUAAAUAUCCUUGGGAAUCCAUUGAUGUUCUUAUAUCUCAGUUUAGUCUUUCAAGCGUAUGUACUAUCAUGGUUGUAUGUAUAAAUCCUACGACAAAUACAGGGCUUUUAUAACCUGUG